AAAAAGGCCAAAAAAAACUAAAGAGAGGACGGAUAUUAAUGUCAAAAUAAAGGCGAUAGAAGUAAAAAGCUGCUAAAAAACAAAAAGUUUACUAACCUGUAAAAUCAGCUGAAUGCAGAAGUCAGAUUAUUUUAAAAACACACUUAAUUAAAGAGGUUAGCUAAUUACUUCAUUAAAGAGCUUAUCUAAUUACUUAAUUAAAGAGGUUAGCUAAUUACUUCAUUAAAGAUAAAUUAACCCCCCCCCCCAGGAGGCGUGGCUAACCUGUGUAGAGCUUUAAAUGAUCUGCUGUGACUUUUAUUCUGAAAUAACCCUUUACAUUUAUUUAUUUAACACUCAAUAACUCUCUCUCUCACUCUCUCUUUAUCUCUCACUCACUCACUCACUCACUCACUCACUCACUCACUCACUCACUCACUCACUCACUCACUCACUCUUUCAUUAACUUUCCGUCUCUCACUCUCACUCUCUCACCCUCUGCAGAGUAGAACAGAAGUGGAAGUAGAUUAAAAGAGUGACCCUCUCUCUCUGUCGUCCCUCCUCUAAAGUUGUGUUCGCCAUCGUGGAUGUUGCGGUUGUUAAGGAUGGGCGCCGUGCCGCCAUGAUGCCUCAGGUGACCUUGAGCUUCGAUCUUAAAGUCUUUCUAAAGUAAAACACGGUUGAAAGAGACGAUAAGGAAAUGAGACGUGAAUCAGGAUGAAAGGUGAGAAAUGACUGAAGAUCAGAUCUGCUCAGUGUCAGGAGAUUCUGGACUGGACUGGUUCAGGGUCAAGUUCUGGGUGACCAUGAGGUCCAACAUGUGCAGGUCAGUCUAGGUCAGUCCAGUCAGUCUGAUGAAGAAAAGGUUCCUGCCAAAGUAGAGGAGGAAACAGUUCAACGUGACACCACAAAAACUCUGAUCAUACCGAGUAUUUCUGUCAGACCAUCUGAACAUCUGAGGACACGAGUCCAGGUCUGUCCAGGUCUGUCAGGUCUGUCCAAGUCUGUCCAGGUCUGUCAGGUCUGUCCAAGUCAGUCCAGGUCAGUCCAAGUCAGUCCAGGUCAGUCCAGGUCUGUCAGGUCAGUCCAGGUCUGUCAGGUCUGUCCAGGUCUGUCCAAGUCCGUUCAGGUCUGUUCAGGUCUGUCAGCCUGAUCUUCUGGAUCUGGAGUGGGUUUGGGGUUAGGGAUUAUUAUUGAUUAUUGAUUUCUGACUUGAUUGGUUGAUCUCCUCCUGGUGUUUCCUGACCUGAGCUGUGGAUCUUGUUUGAGUUCAUCCUGUCUUCUUGUCUUUCUUUGGUCUGGAUCUUCUCACACAGACGUUUCCUCCUCAUGUUGAAGAUCCUGGACACAGAUUCAGACUGAAGACCAGAUGAUGGAUCUCAGACUCAGCUGGACUCCGAACAUGUGGUCUACUCAAGAUCUCUGCUGCUGAAGGACCAUGCUGAGGUUGAACCCGGACCUCCUCCUCAGAUCACCAUCCAGAUCUCACAGUCAGCUGGUUCCUCCAAAGGUUCUCCUUCAGGUUCUGAAGAUCUGCUGGAGUCCACCUGG